UUAAAGCAGCAUGACUGGAAGCCCGCUCUGUUUUUUUGUUUUUGUUUUUGUUUUUGUUUUUUUAACUGGCUUUUGAAGUCAAUAAAGAGCCAAUUCUGUAAAUAGAGCAAAGCAAUAGCCCUUCCUCCCCCAUGCGUCCCCCAACAGGAGCUCCUUGGCCCCAAGAAUGCCAUGAACCCAGUGGCUCAAGAAUUGUUCUUCAAGUACAACUGUUCUUCUACAGUUUUCUGGCCCUUUAAAGAGACUCACCAAUGAAGUCGGCCUUAAAAUUGCAGUGCUUUUAAAAAAAAAGUGCGGACUAAGCUUGAUCAGGAAUUUUGACAUCUCUUGAAUGUAAGGUCUACAAACGGACUUGUUCUUAUUUGGAGCUGCGGAGACAUCACAGUACCGUUGCUUAGGCUGGAGUGAAGGCAGAAGGGGAAGUCGAUAGAAUGAGGAAGCAGUCAACCCAGCAACCAAGCUUUUGGAAACCAUUGCAGUGACUUGAAAUGCCCACGGGACAGCCACCUGCGGCAGUGGAGUGCCUACCUGAAGCCCCUAAUUAAUGGUUUCCCUGCAUCUGUGUCCUGCAUCUCCAUCAGCUGCUACACUGUCUUUCGCCAUCGUUCCUCUGGGCUGGCCUUGUCACUUUGGCCAGAGGAAGGGAGCUGAAGUGAUGGUGUGCCCAUCUCAAGCAGCCAUUUGGGCUCCUCUCUGUGUCUCUCUCAACAUAUCCUGGAUCAGACUGCCGGGGCUCCAGAGACCAUGUAGAGAAGAGCCCACAGUCCUCGUCCUAGGCCAUUUUGAACCGGCUUACAACCAGCCAACCUUCAACACGGUUGGCCCGCAGAUUCAUGAGUGAUAAGAAAUGCUUGUUACUAUAAGCAUCUGAGAUUUUAUUAAACAACAGAGGUUAACUGUUACCUACACUCAAUUUUCUCAUGUACAUGCCAGUUUUCUGGACUUUAUUGUGUUCUCUCGGUUCUGAGUAUGUUUCUGCAGAUUAUAUUUCCACAUCAUUUCCAAUCUAUUGCUGAUUUUCUGCCAAAUUCUUAGCCAUGGACAGUGUAAGGUGUGAUGAAUACCAAACAAUCCUCUAUUUGGUAUGUCACAUAUUCUCCCACAUCCCCUAAAUCCUUCUGGGGAGGCUUUUUGCUUCCUUAAGUAAAUUUCUGUUCAGUACCUCCUACGUGCACAGGACCAUACUAGAUUCUACCGC